GACGUGGAAGACUAGUGUUAUUCAUCUUUAAUAGGUUUAAAGGGUACCUAGACGGUAUUUCUUGCCCAAAAGGGUACAGAUUUACUAGAGUUUAUGUAAGAAGGGGAGUAUUUUUGGUGUAAAGAUGAAAUUUUGAUACCUUAAGGACUGGUUAAAGGCGAAAGCAAUCUUCUAUGUAAAAACUGACGUUGAGGGGCGAAGGCUUGGGUAACAAACAGG
rnacentral:rRNA from 1 species